GAUGGACGCUGGCGGCGUGCCUAAUACAUGCAAGUCGAGCGAACGGACGAGAAGCUUGCUUCUCUGAUGUUAGCGGCGGACGGGUGAGUAACACGUGGAUAACCUACCCAUAAGACUGGGAUAACUUCGGGAAACCGGGGCUAAUACCGGAUAAUAUUUUGAACCGCAUGGUUCAAAAGUGAAAGACGGUCUUGCUGUCACUUAUGGAUGGAUCCGCGCUGCAUUAGCUAGUUGGUAAGGUAACGGCUUACCAAGGCAACGAUGCAUAGCCGACCUGAGAGGGUGAUCGGCCACACUGGAACUGAGACACGGUCCAGACUCCUACGGGAGGCAGCAGUAGGGAAUCUUCCGCAAUGGGCGAAAGCCUGACGGAGCAACGCCGCGUGAGUGAUGAAGGUCUUCGGAUCGUAAAACUCUGUUAUUAGGGAAGAACAUAUGUGUAAGUAACUGUGCACAUCUUGACGGUACCUAAUCAGAAAGCCACGGCUAACUACGUGCCAGCAGCCGCGGUAAUACGUAGGUGGCAAGCGUUAUCCGGAAUUAUUGGGCGUAAAGCGCGCGUAGGCGGUUUUUUAAGUCUGAUGUGAAAGCCCACGGCUCAACCGUGGAGGGUCAUUGGAAACUGGAAAACUUGAGUGCAGAAGAGGAAAGUGGAAUUCCAUGUGUAGCGGUGAAAUGCGCAGAGAUAUGGAGGAACACCAGUGGCGAAGGCGACUUUCUGGUCUGUAACUGACGCUGAUGUGCGAAAGCGUGGGGAUCAAACAGGAUUAGAUACCCUGGUAGUCCACGCCGUAAACGAUGAGUGCUAAGUGUUAGGGGGUUUCCGCCCCUUAGUGCUGCAGCUAACGCAUUAAGCACUCCGCCUGGGGAGUACGACCGCAAGGUUGAAACUCAAAGGAAUUGACGGGGACCCGCACAAGCGGUGGAGCAUGUGGUUUAAUUCGAAGCAACGCGAAGAACCUUACCAAAUCUUGACAUCCUUUGACAACUCUAGAGAUAGAGCCUUCCCCUUCGGGGGACAAAGUGACAGGUGGUGCAUGGUUGUCGUCAGCUCGUGUCGUGAGAUGUUGGGUUAAGUCCCGCAACGAGCGCAACCCUUAAGCUUAGUUGCCAUCAUUAAGUUGGGCACUCUAAGUUGACUGCCGGUGACAAACCGGAGGAAGGUGGGGAUGACGUCAAAUCAUCAUGCCCCUUAUGAUUUGGGCUACACACGUGCUACAAUGGACAAUACAAAGGGCAGCGAAACCGCGAGGUCAAGCAAAUCCCAUAAAGUUGUUCUCAGUUCGGAUUGUAGUCUGCAACUCGACUACAUGAAGCUGGAAUCGCUAGUAAUCGUAGAUCAGCAUGCUACGGUGAAUACGUUCCCGGGUCU
rnacentral:rRNA from 1 species